rnacentral:rRNA from 1 species
UGUGGGGUGCUCGAGUGGCGAACGGGUGAGUAACACGUGAGUAACCUGCCCUUGACUUUGGGAUAACUUCAGGAAACUGGGGCUAAUACCGGAUAGGAGCUCCUGCUGCAUGGUGGGGGUUGGAAAGUUUCGGCGGUUGGGGAUGGACUCGCGGCUUAUCAGCUUGUUGGUGGGGUAGUGGCUUACCAAGGCUUUGACGGGUAGCCGGCCUGAGAGGGUGACCGGCCACAUUGGGACUGAGAUACGGCCCAGACUCCUACGGGAGGCAGCAGUGGGGAAUAUUGCACAAUGGGCGGAAGCCUGAUGCAGCAACGCCGCGUGCGGGAUGACGGCCUUCGGGUUGUAAACCGCUUUCGCCUGUGACGAAGCGUGAGUGACGGUAAUGGGUAAAGAAGCACCGGCUAACUACGUGCCAGCAGCCGCGGUGAUACGUAGGGUGCGAGCGUUGUCCGGAUUUAUUGGGCGUAAAGGGCUCGUAGGUGGUUGAUCGCGUCGGAAGUGUAAUCUUGGGGCUUAACCCUGAGCGUGCUUUCGAUACGGGUUGACUUGAGGAAGGUAGGGGAGAAUGGAAUUCCUGGUGGAGCGGUGGAAUGCGCAGAUAUCAGGAGGAACACCAGUGGCGAAGGCGGUUCUCUGGGCCUUUC